rnacentral:lncRNA from 1 species
AAAAUAAGAAGAGUCAAAGCUGGAUGGAUUCUUGUGUAAUAUGCGCUAUGUUAAAUGGCGCAAACCCUUCCACAAAGUUUUUCAAUUGAACAUUUGGGUCCUCAUAUGCUUGACCCCCAUAUAAUCCUUUCAUUUGUAACAUAUGUAGCAUAACGCUAGUCACAUGAAACACACCAUUUCCGUUGGCUGGUGGGAUAUUGAUAGCACUUGUUUGCCGUGCUUCAUUCAAGUAGC